AUUUUUGAGAGCCCACAGCAAUUCUCUAUCCUACGUGGCGCUCUCAAAAGUCUCUAUUUUGAUUUAUCUAAUCCUGUAUUAUUUAUUUUACAUCUCAAUUCUCAAGGUCUGCUAGAAAAUCAAUUCUGAUAUUCAAUCAUCCGUUACAAAUUAGAGGCGCAAUAGAUCUGCAAAUUCUUCUCAAAUUUCUCUCCAUCCCUCUGCAAAUUUCAUGCUCAAUCACCGUUACAAAACUUAGAUUAGCAAUUGAUCUGCAAAUAUUCUCAAAUCCCUCUCCAUCCGUCUGCAAUCACCGUACUCAAAUCUCAUCUUCCGAUCAUUCUUGAAUCUCUCCAUCCAUCUGCAAAUCGUUCUGAAAUCCCAUCUCCCGCCGUCUACAAAUCCUUAUCACAACAAUUGAUAUGCUAAUCUCUAUAUACCGGGUCUCCCACCACUGAUACAUCAAAAUUGGCAGGAUUUGGUGCUCCAUCUCCCCGCCUGAUUCCGAACUAUUUUUUAAGAUAUCGGCGGCGGAAAGACUAGAAAUCGCCCACCCCUUGCUCUAUCUCACUCGGUUGUCGGGCUAGAAAUCGCCAUCACCGCCGAUGCCCAACUUCUCCGAUCUCCUCCCAUUUUCACACUGGAGUGGCGCCGAGAAGAAGAAACUCUUCGCGUCCAUCAUCAGCUCCUAUCUCCGUUGGAAAUUGUGAAGUGAUAGUGCAAGCGAAGAAUUUCACUUCCGAAUCAAAUGGUGAUAGUUUUCAAAUCUCUAUUUCCAAAACUGCCAAAAUCAGUAUUUCAGUGAUCGGAAAAGCGAAUGAACACGACAAUGGUGGGGGCGGAGGACAUGAGAAAUCUGUUUCCGGUUAGUUUGAGUAUCGUACUUUCUUCUUGCCUAAUUCAGUUUGGUUUGCAAAAGAGCAGUAAAGAGUCAUUGUUCUAUCGUUGAGAACUAUGCCAUUUGCAUUCAUGUCCUCGUGCAACUUUUCAGCUGUUUUCCAAUCUAGAGCCUUGAAGCAAAGAGAUUUUAUCAGUCAUGAGCUGGGAUUGGACAUCGAAUCACUAUAUAUGGUAGAUUUGUGAAUCUUUGGAGUUACAUUUAACGAGGGAUUCUCUGCUGCUAUCAUCAUAAUCAUACUUCUUGGUCAACUUGGGAGGCUUGGAGUUGGUGCUGGCGGAUAUGAGGAUCCUGGUGUUAAGAAAUUAAGAGGCUGGUUCUCAAAAGUUUGUUCAUGUCCAGUUUGCGCUUAUAACUUCUUUGCUUGGUCUUACUUCUAUCAAAUUUCAAGAGGUCGCGGAAGGUAAAAUCGAAAUUCCAGCAGUCAUUAGUCAGUCCAUCCUGUGCUGCCUCAUUUCGCCUAACAUAUUGACAGCCUUGUCAAUUUCACCAAACGCCCCUAGCUGCUCGAUUAAUUUGUUAUAGCUUCAGCAGUUAUACAAUCAAAAGAACCACUUUCUUAAUAUGCAAUCAGUUUCAGUUCAUCUCAUUUUUUAUUUUUAUUUUUUGUGUUAAAUCUUGAGUUUUGUUUAUGAGUGCCUAGACUCAUAUGUUUGAUAGUCAUGUUUUAGUCCAACACACCAUAUAACAGGGUUGGUUUUAUGUUAAUAAAUUUUUAUUAUUUAUUUUAUCUCGAUAAAAA